rfam:Erinaceus europaeus isolate Erinaceus europaeus_13Jul2011 contig219910, whole genome shotgun sequence
GGAUGUGAGGGCGAUCCGGCUGCGACAUCUGUCAUCCCAUUGAUCGCCAGGGUUGAUUUGGUUGGUCUGGCUGGCUAGGCGGGUGUCCCCUCCCUCCCUCACCACUCCAUGUGUGUCUCUCCCAAAGCUACACACUUGUUCGAACAGGACAGCCUUCCCCAAUAGAGAUGGACUGGUCUUUGGUCGAGCGUAUAUAAGUAGCUGCGCUCCCCUCCUAGGACCUCCAAACAAGCUCUCAAGGACAGAGAAAAAUGGAGAGAGGAGGGGAAGACAGAGAG